rnacentral:rRNA from 1 species
GUGCAGCAGGCGCGAAAACUUUACAAUGCGGGAAACCGUGAUAAGGGGACACCGAGUGCCAGCAUCAUAUGCUGGCUGUCCGGAUGUGUAAAAUACAUCCGUUAGCAAGGGCCGGGCAAGACCGGUGCCAGCCGCCGCGGUAACGCCGGCGGCCCGAGUGGUGAUCGUGAUUAUUGGGUCUAAGGGGUCCGUAGCCGGUUUGGUCAGUCCUCCGGGAAAUCUGAUAGCUUAACUAUUAGGCUUUCGGGGGAUACUGCCAGACUUGGAACCGGGAGAGGUAAGAGGUACUACAGGGGUAGGAGUGAAAUCUUGUAAUCCCUGUGGGACCACCUGUGGCGAAGGCGUCUUACCAGAACGGGUUCGACGGUGAGGGACGAAAGCUGGGGGCACGAACCGGAUUAGAUACCCGGGUAGUCC